GUGAUACGAAUAAAGCAAUUGCUUUAUUUAUCGUGUCUGAAAUAUGCACAAUCAAGACUUUGGCUGUGACAAUAGCAACCCACAGAGGGGGUGAAAACAGAGGUGUCAGAUUUUCAAGAAUAAAUCCUACCUUGUCACUGUC